UGGGGAAUCAUGGUCAAUGGGCGAAAGCCUGAACCUGCGACGCCGCGUGAGGGAUGAAGGUCGUAAGAUCGUAAAACUCUUUUCAGGGAUCUUAAAGCACAACCGUCAACAACGGCUGUGUGUGACUCUCCCUGGAAGAAGCCCCAGCCAACUACGUGCCAGCAGCUGCGGUAAUACGUAGGGGGCGAGCGUUAUUCGGAAUUACUGGGUGUAAAGGGUAUGUAGGCGGCCCUUCAAGUCGCGUGUUAAAGUCCCGUGCUCAACGCUGGGUGUG
rnacentral:rRNA from 1 species